rnacentral:sRNA from 1 species
UUUUUUUCUAAAGAAGUGAUACUUGAUACACAACAUGAAAUGACUAAUCAAUGCAGCGGUAAGAUCUUGAUCAAAAAAUUCAACGGCUAAGAUGAACUCCUCUUUUUCUCAUGAGGUAUUAAUUGAUUUACGAUAUGAAAUGACUAAUCAAUGCAACGGUUAGAUCCUCUUCAAAAAAAUUCAAUGGCUAAGAUGAACUCAUCUUUUUCUCAUGAGGUGACCAUUGAUAGAAGACAUAAAAUGACUAAACAGUGCAACGGUUAGAUUUUGGUCAAAAAAGUUUAACGGUUAAAAUCAAUUUAUCUUUUCCUGAUAAGAUGAAUAUCACAAUUCCAUGCUCUUCUAUAUAAUGCGCAAUAUGUUUAGAACUAAAAGGAAUAUCACUAUCUUCUUCUAUUUCUUCUCAUAAAAGAUGAGUUUUAACUAAGGUAGUUCAUCUUCUUCUUCAUCUUCUUCAUCUUCUUCUUCUUCAUCUUCUUCAUCUUCUUCAUCUUCUUCAUCUUCAUCUUCUUCUUCUUCAACUUCUUCUUCUUCAUCUUCUUCUUCAUUUUCUUCUUAUUUUGUCGUGCCAUUGUUGAGGUAUUUGCAUGUCGUUAUCUUCGAUCACCUGACGCUAAUGAUGUUGCACGCCUACUCUACAUUAGCGAAUCCCGAGGAUUUCCAGGUAUGUUGGGUAGAUUAGAUUGUAUGCAUUGGAAAUGGAAAAACUGCCCAACAACUUGGAGAGGACAAAAUGCUGGUCGUAGUAAAUCUCCUACUAUUAUUCUAGAGGCUGUAGCUGAUUAUGAUAUGUGGAUUUGGCAUGCAUAUUUUGGGUUACCAGGAUCUAAUAAUGAUAUUAAUGUGUUAGAGGCAUAUCAUCUUUUUGCUAAUCUAGCUGAAGAUACUGCUCCACCCGCUAGUUAUGUUAGCAAUGGAAAACCCUAUAAUAUGGGUUAUUACCUAGCUGAUGGUAUAUAUUCAAAAUGGUCCACUCUUGUUCAAACAAUUCAUGAUCCACGUGGUCCCAAAAAGAAAUUAUUUGCCAUGAAACUAGAAACUUGUAGAAAAGAUGUGGAACCUGCUUUCGAAGUUUUGCACUCGAGGUUUGCAAUCGUGGCAGAGCCAUCACGAUUAUGGAAUAAAAUGACAUCUUGUAUCAUAAUGCAUAAUAUGAUCAUCGAAGAUGAGCGUGAUAUUGAUGCACCAAUUGAAGAACAAGUUAAAGUUCCAAUUGAAGAAGUUGAGAUGACGGGUGAUGAUGAUGCUUGAUUUCAAGAAUUUUUGGCUUGGCACAGACAAAUUAAAGACCGAGAAGCUCAUAUUGAACUUAGAAAUGCUUUAAUUGAACAUUUGUGCUCACAAUAUACUAAUUCUGAGAAUUAGUACGAUGUAAUUUAUGUUUAUUAUGUUUGGUUUAUCGAUUGUAAUAUUAUAUUA